rnacentral:rRNA from 1 species
UACGUAGGGUCCGAGCGUUGUCCGGAAUUACUGGGCGUAAAGCGCGCGCAGGCGGCCCGCGAGGUGUCACGUGAAAGCCCCCGGGCUCAACCCGGGAGGGUCGUGGCAAACCGGCGGCUUGAGGCCGGUAGAGGUGGGGUGGAACUCCUGGUGGAGUGGUGAAAUGCGUAGAGAUCAGGAAGAAACACCCCUGGCGAAGGCGGCCCACUGGGGCCCGGUACUGCGGAGGC